CCUACGGGAGGCAGCAGUGAGGAAUAUUGGUCAAUGGUCGGAAGGCUGAACCAGCCAUGCCGCGUGAAGGUCAGUGCCCUAUGGGCGUUAAACUUCUUUUGUGCGGGAGCAAUAAUGGUCACGUGUGGCCAGACGAGAGUACCGUACGAAUAAGCAUCGGCUAACUCCGUGCCAGCAGCCGCGGUAAUACGGGGGAUGCAAGCGUUAUCCGGAUUUAUUGGGGUUAAAGGGUGCGUAGGCUGUGAGGUAAGUCAGCGGUGAAAUGCCCCCGCUCAACGGGGUGAAGUGCCAUUGAUACUGCCGUGGUUGAAUGCGGAUGCCGUGGGAGGAAUGUGGGGUGUAGCGGUGAAAUGCAUAGAUAUCACACAGAACACCGAUUGCGAAGGCAUCUCACGAAUCCGCGAUUGACGCUGAUGCACGAAAGCGGGGGUAUCAAACAGGAUUAGAUACCCGUGUAGUC
rnacentral:rRNA from 1 species